GAUGAAGAACGCAGCGAAAUGCGAUAAGUAAUGUGAAUUGCAGAAUUUAGUGAAUCAUCGAAUCUUUGAACGCAUAUUGCGCCCGCCAGCACUCUGGCGGGCAUGCCUGUUCGAGCGUCAUUUCAACCCUCAGGCCUCGCGUCUGGCGUUGGGGCGCUGCGGCCCUCCCGCAGGCCCCCAAAUUUAGCGGCGGAUUCCCCGCGGCCCUGAGCGCAGUAGAGAGUAAAAACUUUAACGCUCCGGCGGCCGUGGCGCGGUUCUGCCUCUUUCCCAAUAGCGCCAAUAGCGCAACCCCCAAAAAAGUUGACCUCGGAUCAGGUAGGACUACCCGCUGAACUUAAGCAUAUCAAUAAGCGGAGGA
rnacentral:misc_RNA from 1 species